rnacentral:lncRNA from 1 species
UGGUGUGCACCGAAUUAAGUGUUCAAUGUAGAAUUUACCUACACCAUUUCUCAACUGUUCAAUGUAGAAUUUAUGUGAUUCGAGUAAAAACUAUCUGAAUGCAAAUAGUUACGUUACAAGCUAUUUUGAUAUUUGAUAUUUGAUUUAGAUGUGUAGGGUGGAAUAGUGGAAAGCGAAAGCAAAAACAAACAGAACAAAAGUUAAAAACAACUUAAAACAUAACACAAAUUGAAGACACAGUAUGCUAAAAAUUCACUUAGGUAUUUUAACAAACAAUGAGCAGGUAAUGAAUGCGUUUAGUACAUAAAAAUAGGGCUUUUGGUGCUCGGUAAAGACUCUUUGCAGCACUUACACAAUAGUUACAAAGUGUUUUUCACACUAUUCUCAAAGCACAAUGUUACAAAUGCUGCACACAUUUCUGACUAAUCUAAAAAACAUAUAGAUUCAACUUGGUACAAAACUAGUCACACUUAGCAACCUAUUUGCUAGCAACGUAAACUCAUACCAACUCAAGCUACAGCUGUCAAUAACGGAAACCAAGUGGCACCAUACCAUGAGAGCCGAUGAUGACUCUUAACAAGAUGAAGUUUUUUGCUUUGGUGCGGGAUUUAUGGCUGAGACAUAGAGAAAAAAUGAAAGUACAAGAAGAGGGAAAAAAGGCAAGUUUGUUUUGUAGUUUAAUUUUAACAGAUUUUUUAAUUUUAUUAGAAAACUUUAAAAACAAGAUACCUUUUUUCUCAUAAGAAAUUCUUUUGAAAUAAAAUUCACAUCA